CAGUAACGCGUAGUCCACCUAACCUAUGGACGGGAAUAACCUCGGGAAACUGAGAAUAAUGCCCGAUAGAACAUUAUGCCUGGAAUGGUUUAUGUUCCAAAUGAUUUAUCGCCGUAGGAUGGGACUGCGGCCUAUCAGUUUGUUGGUGAGGUAAUGGCCCACCAAGACUAUUACAGGUACGGGCUCUGAGAGGAGUAGCCCGGAGAUGGGUACUGAGACACGGACCCAGGCCCUAUGGGGCGCAGCAGGCGAAAAAACUUUGCAAUGUGCGAAAGCACGACAAGGUUAAUCCGAUUGGUUUCUGCUAAAGAAACCUUUUGUCAGUCCUAGAAACAUUGAUGAAUAAGGGGUGGGCAAGUUCUGGUGUCACCCGCCGCGGUAAAACCAGCACCUCAAGUGGUCAGGAUGAUUAUUGGGCCUAAAGCAUCCGUAGCCGGCUCUGUAAGUUUUCGGUUAAAUCUGUACGCUCAACGUACAGGC
rnacentral:rRNA from 1 species